rnacentral:rRNA from 1 species
CCUACGGGAGGCAGCAGUGAGGAAUAUUGGUCAAUGGACGAGAGUCUGAACCAGCCAAGUAGCGUGAAGGAUGACUGCCCUAUGGGUUGUAAACUUCUUUUAUAUGGGAAUAAAAUGUUCCACGUGUGGGAUUUUGUAUGUACCAUAUGAAUAAGGAUCGGCUAACUCCGUGCCAGCAGCCGCGGUAAUACGGAGGAUCCGAGUUUUAUCCGGAUUUAUUGGGUUUAAAGGGAGCGUAGGUGGAUUGGUAAGUCAGUUGUGAAAGUUUGCGGCUCAACCGUAAAAUUGCAGUUGAAACUGGCAGUCUUGAGUACAGUAGAGGUGGGCGGAAUUCGUGGUGUAGCGGUGAAAUGCUUAGAUAUCACGAAGAACUCCGAUUGCGAAGGCAGUUCACUGGACUGCAACUGACACUGAGGCUCGAAAGUGUGGGUAUCAAACAGGAUUAGAUACCCUAGUAGUC